UUUAGAAUCUUGCACAAUGGGGGCAACCCUGAUGCAGCGACGCCGCGUGAAUGAUGAAGGCCUUCGGGUUGUAAAGUUCAGUAAGCAGGGAAGAAUAAGCAAGAGGUAAUAUUUCUUGUGAUGACGGUACCUGCCUAAAGCCCCGGCUAACUACGUGCCAGCAGCCGCGGUAAUACGUAUGGGGCAAGCGUUGUUCGGAAUUAUUGGGCGUAAAGGGCGUCUAGGCGGGGGAUUAAGUUAUAUGUGAAAGCUAUGGGCUCAACCCAUAAACUGCAUCUAAGACUGGUUCUCUUGAGUCCGGGAGAGGAGAGCGGAAUUCCAGGUGUAGCGGUGAAAUGCGUAGAUAUCUGGAAGAACACCAGUGGCGAAGGCGGCUCUCUGGCCUAGGACUGACGCUGAAGCACGAAAGCGUGGGGAGCGAACA
rnacentral:rRNA from 1 species